rnacentral:rRNA from 1 species
AUUGAACGCUGGCGGCAGGCCUAACACAUGCAAGUCGAGCGGAUGAGGGGUGCUUGCACCCCGAUUCAGCGGCGGACGGGUGAGUAAUGCCUAGGAAUCUGCCUAUUAGUGGGGGAUAACGUUCCGAAAGGAACGCUAAUACCGCAUACGUCCUAUGGGAGAAAGUGGGGGAUCUUCGGACCUCACGCUAAUAGAUGAGCCUAGGUCGGAUUAGCUAGUUGGUGGGGUAACGGCUCACCAAGGCGACGAUCCGUAGCUGGUCUGAGAGGAUGAUCAGCCACACUGGAACUGAGACACGGUCCAGACUCCUACGGGAGGCAGCAGUGGGGAAUAUUGGACAAUGGGCGAAAGCCUGAUCCAGCCAUGCCGCGUGUGUGAAGAAGGUCUUCGGAUUGUAAAGCACUUUAAGUUGGGAGGAAGGGUUGUAAGCUAAUAUCUUGCAGCUUUGACGUUACCAACAGAAUAAGCACCGGCUAACUCUGUGCCAGCAGCCGCCGUAAAAC